rnacentral:misc_RNA from 1 species
GAAAUCGGAAUUGGGUUUGGC